rnacentral:rRNA from 1 species
UACGUAGGGGGCAAGCGUUAUCCGGAUUUACUGGGUGUAAAGGGAGCGUAGGCGGCUUAGUAAGUCAGAAGUGAAAGCCCGCAGCUCAACUGCGGGACUGCUUUUGAAACUGUGUGACUGGAGUGCAGGAGAGGUAAGCGGAAUUCCUGGUGUAGCGGUGGAAUGCGUAGAUAUUAGGAGGAACACCAGAGGCGAAGGCGACUCACUGGACUGUAACUGACGCUGAGGCACGAAGGCCAGGGGAGCGAAAGGG